AGAAUCAACGCUGGCGGCGUGCCUAACACAUGCAAGUCGAACGAGAAAGUGGAGCAAUCCAUGAGUACAGUGGUGACCGGGUGAGUAACACGUGACUACCUACCCUUGAGUGGGGGAUAACCUCGGGAAACCGAGGCUAAUACCGCAUAAUAUCGAGAGAUCAAAGGAGUAAUCCGCUUUUGGAGGGGGUCGCGGCUGAUUAGCUAGUUGGUAGGGUAAUGGCCUACAAAGGCGAAGAUCGGUAU
rnacentral:rRNA from 1 species